UGCACAGCUUCCAAAGCAUAUACAGCAGUGGGCCGGGCAGGGUCCCUCCACCCACACGCAGACCGACCGACAUCCACCCCCCUCCACACACACACACACACAAGGCCACCAUCCUGGAAGCUUUCCUUCUGCCCACCCCUCGCUCUAUUCCAAGCACAUCAUUCAUACACACCACCAUCGCGCCCGCCUCUGCAUCUAUCUCGCCGUUGCCCCCUCUCACCCACAGCGCAAGGCACACAGAACAUCAGCAAGGGCGCAAAGGCAAGCAACAACCACAUCCACACUUCACGCACCGCGCUGCCGCGACGGGAGAGGCGCACACCUGCCCUCCUCCCCUUCCUCCUCCUCAUUCCAUCAGUUCUCUCUCUAUCUCUUGCCGCUGGUCUUCUGAUUGACUCUCUGGUCUGUUCUUUCUGGUUUUUGUUUGUUGCUGCCUAUUACUGGACGAGGCUUGCCGCUGCCGCUUGCGUGCGGCCCCCCUCCCCCUCCCACCGCAUCUUUUACGCGUCCUCUCCUCCCCCUUUUGCUCUUACUGGUGUGCGGGUGCUCGCUCUCUGCGCCUUUUCUCAUUCCCUUCGAUCGCCGUCUUUUCGGUGGUGCGCGUGGUUGGGGUUGCUGUUGUUUAUAGCGUGCCCAUCUCGUCCCCUUCUUCUCUUUCUGUUCUUCACGCAAUCAUUGCCCCCUCCCCGCAAGCACCUUCGGCCUUCUCGCCUUUUGCAUGCACGCGUCAGUGCGGCACCAGCCGGUAGCCUUCCUCUUGCACCUCUGGCCAUUGUGGUGCACCUACCCCUACCCCUCGGCCCCGCGCGGUGGGCAGCGGUGGUGACUUCUCCCCGCCCUGCGCCCGGGCGACUCGUUUCGUUUUCGUCGCCGCCCUUCUCUCCUCUUUCUCGCCUUUUUGUCGUUUUUUUCUUCAAGAAUGAGCUUAUCGGCCGAUCGAUCGCCGUCGUUGCCGACCCCCGAGCACUCGCCGCGUCAGGUGAGCACGCCGCCUGCAACACCCACCACCGUGUCUGCGUUUGAUGCCCCAGAGAACCAGGCGUCAAGGAGCCGACGACGUCAUCGCCACCGCCACCGCAGUAGUGCCUCGGACGCGCCGACUGCGUUGUCGCACGCGCACAGGCGCAGGCACACACAAAAACGCAAGUCAAACUGUCGAAGCUCCGGUGUAGAAGCAGCAUCCAGCGAAGAGAAGGAGGGCUCUUCAGGGAAGACAGAUAUCACCCGUGAGGCAACAGGGAUGACGCACCACGACGACAAGACAGAGCGACAGCGCUUGGCCAGUGCGGCGGUCACACCGAAUCCGCCGAUCAGCAACGGAGGUUCCCGCAAACCGAGCCUCAUGCAGCCGUCCCCGCCUCAAUGCGACCCACAGGUUCUUGCCCCUAGCACAACCGCCGCGACGGUGACGUGCACCUCGGUGGCUGAAGGGACGCUGUCCCACUUUCCCAACGGUGUUGGUGUGCCGGCUCGGUGUGCGCGGCCAAGCGACGCCUCUGUGGCACAGAACAGAGGCACAGUUCUCAGCGUCACGCCCGUGGCAGGUCUUGAGAAGUCGAUUCUUACUCUCGGCGAGUAUGUCAAGGGACCUGCGUGGCCGCGAAUCGCCGCGACAGCGCUACCCGAGCCGCCGGAGGAGCCUUCCAGCAUUUUUAGCCCCGCGUCCGUGCGGGAGGCGGAGGUCGAGGUGACCGCACACCGACAGCGGGGCGGGGUCGGCAACCAUCUCCCCUCUGAGACUGGUGCCACUGCACCGAUCGGUGUGAGCGUUGGCGAGGGUGGCACGUCGCGUCUGCCGUGCGCCCAUCUGCAUCCCGCUGACGUGGAUCUCCCCAUCGCGGAGGAAAUGGAGGUGGCAGAGAAGCACCGGUACGGCGAUGAGCGAGAGGACGCCUUUUUCACGAGCGGCAGCGCUUGGGAUGGUGAAGAGCGCAUGCGUGGAGCUUCUCUGCACCGCGCCGAGGAGGAUGCAGGUGACGGUUGGGAAAGUGAGGACUGGGUUGACGACAACCGCAAGAUUCCUCGCUCAGAGGAGCCGUGCUGCUCGCUGUGCGUGAACGUCAGCGAAGAACCCGAUAGCUGGCGUCACAGUCAACCACGUCGCCACGCCUUCGAGCGCCCGCUGCACUCGAUGCAGGUGAUGGCGUUCGUCUUUGAGCUGGUGCUGAUAGGCCUUUUCUGGUCUAGCGUCUUCAUGGGGUACAUCAUGCUUUACACCCAGGACAAGCAGGACUGCCUGGCUGAGAUGGUCAUCUUCGCUAUCCUCGUGCUUGCCGGCAUGGUGUGGCUCUACACGUCCUUAAUCCUAAUCUCCUUCAAGGACUGCACGGACCGCAGCAACUCGGGUGAGAUGUGCAUGUUCUGUCGCCGUCGCACGCAUGUGGACUCCAAGCACUGCAAGGCGUGCAACAAGUGCGUGGAGGGAUUCGACCACCACUGCAAGUGGCUGAACGUGUGCGUCGGCACGAAGAACUACCAACUCUUCUUCUCCUUCGUGUCCGCCGCCGUGUGCGUGACUCUGACUGGCUUUCUGGGCGGCGUGACAUACCUGGCGCGGUGGUGGCAUGUGCUGGCGGAGCGCCACAGCGCCUACUUUCGCGCGGGCCCGAUUGUCAUGUGCACGUUAAUGGUCGUGGGCAUCGGCCCGAUGGCGCACCUGCUCUUGUUCCACAGCUACCUCUGCAUCGUUGGCAAGACGACGUAUCAGCACAUUCUUGAAAAGCGCAAGCGUACUGUGGAGUUCCCCAGCGGUGAAACGGAGGAGCGGUUUCGCAAGAAGCGACGGCUGCCGUGCGGCUGUUGAGCCGGUAGCGGACAAGGUGAGUGCGCGCACGACCCCCCUCCUUACCCCCUCUUAUUUCUAGUUCUCUCCUUCCACGGACAAGAACAGCGACAAGAAAAACAGCAUCAUCUCCAGCGAUACCACUGACAAGCGCACUCUUCUGCGUUCUUACGGCGUCUUUGCCCGCGCGCGCGUGGUCUCUGCUCCUCUUCGCUACGCCCUGCAUCUGCAAUACCCUUGCCAUGUAAGGCUGUCUCUCUGUCUGCCUGUCCUUCUCUGUGUAUGUGUCUGUCUGUCUGUGUGUGUGGGGGGGGGUGGAGGAAGAGCACGCAUGCAUGCACGCGCGAACCAACGCGCAACACCGCGUAUAGUAGAGGCAGAGUUGCUGCACCGCAUAUUUUUCCUUUCUGUUGUGCGUUCUUGUCUCGCCACCAUCCACAUGUAGAAAACAGCGCCAUGUAUUGUGCUCGUUGGAUGCCCCCCUCCCCCUCCUCCUCCUCCCACCGUCUCUUCUCGUACUCCCCAAAGGACCUUCAAGUCUGGGCAAGCAGUGCUGGCGGCUUGGUUGUGCCCCUCCCCUCCCCUCCCCUUCCUCCUUUUCUUUGCUUCCACGGCUCUUUUCUGCGCCGGUGUUCCCUCACCUGCUUUCGGGCAGCACAGCUGAAGAACGUCGUUUUCUUCUGGUGUGGCGUGUGGGCACGUGUGUGUGUGCUCUCAUUCGCAUGCAUGCGAACGCGCGUAAGGCGGUCAUUUUUUUUGUUUGGUGGGGGAGGGAGGGACGGAGGGAGGCGUGGUGGUGGUGGAUGCGUGUGUCGUUUUGUUGCUCUUCUUGCUUGCCGUCUCUUUCUCCUCACGCUAGACAGGUGUGCGCCGACCAGCGCUCACACGCUCGACAGAAGUGUCACGACGGGUGGCCUCUCUCGCUCUAUGUCUGUUCACGCAGAUUUAUAUAUCUAUCUAUAUCUAUUUACAUGUCUUUUUUUUUGGCGGCUGUUGUAGCAGACGUGACGGCGGUGACGUUUUCGAUGUGCAUAUCGAAAAAAAAAACUUUUUUUUUGGAGAGAUAUGGAGCUGACAUCAGCGGUUUGUGCUGUUCUGCGCUGCGCCUGCGCGGGCGCGUCAACAAGCUUGCUGCUAUGAGAGUACGGGCAUUCACCGUCGAUGUACCACGCACACAUGCACACGCCUUGAUUACGCGUACGUAUUCGCGCACCUGCACACAGAGAAUUACAGCUCAUCCAAAGG
rnacentral:misc_RNA from 1 species